UUAUCACAAAAUAUAGGCACACUAUGAAACUUUAAUCCAAAAUCACAAAGAGUUUGUUUCAUCCAAAGAAUUUGAGCACAGCAACUAGCAACCGCAAUAUAUUCCGCUUCGGUAAAUUUUGUUCAGAAGUUA